rnacentral:tRNA from 2 species
GGUAGGAUAGUUUAUUUAAAACAGAUGUCUGUAAAAUAUCAGAAGCUUUGUAAAGCUCUUACUU